rnacentral:tRNA from 1 species
GCCCGGGUGGCGGAACUGGCAGACGCGCGCGACUCAAAAUCGCGUGGGGCAACCCAUGAGGGUUCGACUCCCUCCCCGGGCACCA